GUCUAUGGCCAUACCACGCUGAACACAUACAAUCUCAUCUGAUCUCAGAAGCUAAGCAGGGUUGGGCCUGGUUAGUACUUGGAUGGGAAAGUUCAAGGCCAGCCUCUACU
rnacentral:rRNA from 1 species